rnacentral:rRNA from 1 species
AUUGAACGCUGGCGGCAGGCCUAACACAUGCAAGUCGAACGGUAACAGGAAGAAGCUUGCUUCUUUGCUGACGAGUGGCGGACGGGUGAGUAAUGUCUGGGAAACUGCCUGAUGGAGGGGGAUAACUACUGGAAACGGUAGCUAAUACCGCAUAACGUCGCAAGACCAAAGAGGGGGACCUUCGGGCCUCUUGCCAUCGGAUGUGCCCAGAUGGGAUUAGCUAGUAGGUGGGGUAACGGCUCACCUAGGCGACGAUCCCUAGCUGGUCUGAGAGGAUGACCAGCCACACUGGAACUGAGACACGGUCCAGACUCCUACGGGAGGCAGCAGUGGGGAAUAUUGCACAAUGGGCGCAAGCCUGAUGCAGCCAUGCCGCGUGUAUGAAGAAGGCCUUCGGGUUGUAAAGUACUUUCAGCGGGGAGGAAGGGAGUAAAGUUAAUACCUUUGCUCACUGACGUUACCCGCAGAAGAAGCACCGGCUAACUCCGU